GGAGAGCAUUACAGCUUGUGUUCCCAGCACGGAAGUGAGGGUAGGAAGCAGCACAGAAGCGGAAACUACCAUUCUGUCUACAGAUUCAGGUACAUCUCUUUUUAAUAUUCUAUGUGAUGAAAUGGAAAAUACUCAAAAGAGUGUCUGCUGCAUAUGGAGGCCCCACGUUUGUCUCAAGGAAAAGCACUCGUGCAACUGUUGAGUUACAAGCUAAACUAACUGCUUCUGUCGUGAAACACCACUUUCAUGUGAAAGAAAGGCUGAGAGACAAGUCAUAGUUAUUCAGACAUGGGAAUCUGGCAUGUAUAAGCAAGCAGGCUUGUCACUUCAAAGAAAAUAACUGACAGUAUUUGUUGCCAAGGGUAAAAAUUGAGUCUUCAGGCAAAAAUUAGAAUUUUGGAAAAUUUGUAUCAGCCACCAUGAGCUUCACACCUUACCAG
rnacentral:lncRNA from 1 species